GGGGGGCCUUCCUUGUCACUUCCGGCGGGGCUGAGUGCGAAGGGCCUCUCCCCUCAGGUGCCACUCGUGCUGCUUCCUUUGAGUUCCAGAGGUACACAUCCGUCUGUUCAUGGUCAGUUCUGGUGGCAUGAUCACAGACGCACGUUCCUGGAGCGAGGAGACUAGUGCUAAGCAGUGAAUACAGAGCAUAUCUUCACGCACCUGCUCAGCGCAGCGUUGAUGGAGAUGCUGCUCUCCGUGGUGUUGGAGAUCUGUCGGUGAACACAGCGGUCAGCGCUUGCUGUGGGUGUCGUCUAGCGCCUUAGCAGCGACAGUGAGCUGUGAGGAUGGUACACGAGGGCCCUGUGUGGCGCGUUGGAGGGAAGCGCAGUGCUGAGGAGAGCACGGGGAUCCCGUGGUGGCGGGCCCGACUGCGCUGAGAAGGGAAGACCCGAAGGGGCGGGGCUGCGGGCGUGCCUGCCAGCGGAGGGGUCUUCCAGGCAGAGGGGCCGGUUGGUGCAGGGGCGCCUCUUGCUGAUGCGGCUGUGCCUUUUGUGCUCAGGUAACUGAAGAGAGGCCAGGUGACACGUGGUGGAGUGCGGUGGUGGAGAGAAAUGUGGAAGCUUGUCAUGUGAGGCCUGGGAGCCGUCCUGAGAGCUGUGCUUCUGUUCCAAAUGAAGUGGGCUGUGACUAGAGGAGUCUGAGCACAGGAAUAGCAUCCUCGCUCUGUGUUUGACAAGGGUUGUUCUUGCUGCUGUGUUGAGAGGGGGCUCGUGAGGGCGGCAGGGGUGGAAACCAGCGGGGAGGUGAGUGCAGUGGCCCAGCUCAGGGGGUGGCAGUGAUUGGGUCAGGAGCCAGGCAUGCCUCAGGGCGGGACUGAUGGAUGGGCCGGGUGUGGGCGGGAGAGAGGAUGCAGCUACGCAGAAGGAGCUCGAGCGCUGGAGGGCGGGGUUGCUGUCACGGAGUGCUCAAGCCCGGCAGGCUUUCAGGGGAAGUCGGCAAGUCCUGUGCUGGAGGUGCGCCUAGACACGCGGGCGCACGUGUCUAGGGUGAGGUUGCUAGGGAGCGUGCAGACGAGAUCUGGGUGCGAAGCUGAAGUGGGGCUCUGUUGGCAUCUCGAUGGACCUGGGGCCUGGAGCCUGAGGCUCGUGACAUGCCAGCUGGGGGUCUGUAGGGAGGGGGAAGCCGGGAGACUGUGGAGGACGGGGGCUGGUGGAGCCCAGUGCUCCGGUGGCUGGCCGUGGGCUGCAGGCUGGGUGCUGGACCUGCAGUUGCCAGGUCUGUGGGGUUCGGACAGGGUGCUUUUGGUGACGUGGAGGCGGUACACUGACGUGGGCUUGAGCGGGAACGGGGUGCAGGCGUGGGAGACGAGUGCAUCGACAGGGAUGAAGAGUGUCUUGCCAAGAUGGCCGUUGCGGAGCAGGAGAGUGCGAGUGCUGGGCAGCCCCAGCAUCCCUGGGGCUGUCGGCCAUGAGCUUGGAGAGACCUGGCCGCCUGCAUGGUUCUCUCCAACCCACUCCCCUCUCUGCGUCAGGGGUAGCCUAGACAGCAUUGGAGUUGCUGGAGUUAGGGUGUUGACGAAGCAGUAG
rnacentral:lncRNA from 1 species